UACGUAGGGGGGCAAGCGUUGUCCGGAUUUACUGGGCGUAAAGAGCGUGUAGGCGGCCACGCAGGUCCGUUGUGAAAACUGGAGGCUCAACCUCCAGCUGUCGACGGAAACCGUGUGGCUAGAGUCCGGAAGAGGAGAGUGGAAUUCCUGGUGUAGCGGUGAAAUGCGCAGAUAUCAGGAGGAACACCGGCGGUGUAGACGGCUAUCUGGACAGUAACUGACGCUGAGACACGAAAGCGUGGGGAGCAAACAGG
rnacentral:rRNA from 1 species